GGUUUCGCCGGGAACCUCGCGAGUCCCCGCGGGUCCUAAAGCCGGCCCGGCCCGCGAAGCCGCGCUCCCCUCAGAUUCCUCCUUGGUUUCUCUCAGUCCGCUGGAGGCGUCGGGUGAGGGGGCGCUCACGUGUUCGGCGACCUUUCGGACGCGGGCAGCGUGGCUGUGGCGUGGAGAAGCCCUCCACACCGGCAGGCGCGCCGCGCCAGGCCCGGCCGCAAGGGGCCGGCUGAGGGCGCGCGCCGCGGACCCCGCGCCGCCGCCGUACGCCCCGCCCGAGAGCCGCGCGCGCCGUCCGACCGUCGGCCGACCGCAGAGGAGCGGGACCGCGGCUGAGAGCCGUGCUUUUUUCGGAGGACCGCGACUUCCGGGAGCCAGGGAAGGUUCCCUGGUUAAACGGGGGCUCCCUCCUUCCGGGCACAGCACACCCAGAAUUGCUCAGGACUGCUGCAGGUCCUCCGAUCGGCCAAACGGAGAAAGUAGAGCAGAGACACCCUAAGAUAAAGGAACAAGUUGGGAAAGUCCAAAGAAGGUUUAAAUUACCUUUUAAAAAAAAAAAAAAAAGAAAACGGGGCCCAAACCUGUAAAAUGGGCUAGUGGGGGGCACCUUUCCGCAGGGUUUUCAACCCCCCCCCACGAGAGAAGCAUAAAUGUUCCCAGUUCCGGAAAUAAUUCGUCUCAUUUCUUUGAAUGCCUGCACUCCACUCUUGAUACUUUAAAAGUUCUGCUUAACUACUUUAUACCUCUCGCUCACCCACCCUGAGAAAAUUUUUUUCUGCAAGAGGAGUCAGCGAACCUGUGAUCUUACUGUGCAGAGGAAUCAGCUUCAAGGCAAAAGUCCUAUCCUACCCACCUUUGGAAUCCUCAGUACUGAAGAUCAUACGUUGCUUGGAACGUGCACUAUGCAUGGUUGUUGAACAAAUACAUGAAUGAAUGGCAAAAGUGUCACAUUAAAUGAUACAUAACAAGACACAGCUCAUUUUCUCAAAAGACCACAUCACCUCAUUUAAAAUUUUUAUUGAACAAAUGUAAAGUUGGACCCUAUUGUUCUGUUUUACUUAUUUGUGCUCUGAAUUUGGCAGUGUAUUCUGAUGCAAGAAAUAAGUUAUAAAAAACCUGAGGUUUGCCGUGA